rnacentral:snoRNA from 1 species
AGACCCGGGUUUCCUUACCCGUCAGAUCUCAACACUGGUCUGUGUGGUCGCUAAAGGAGAAAAAGUAAACUGAACCGGACUUCAAAUCUUUUCCAGCCAGUUUCAAACACAC